GCAUUCAGUUGCCAUCGGGUAAUGCCGGGCGACUCUGGAAGGACUGCCAUCGACAAGAUGGAGGAAGGUGGGGAUGACGUCAAGUCAUCAUGGCCCUUAUGUCCAGGGCGACACACGUGCUACAAUGGCCGGCACAACGGGAAGCGAGUUCGCGAGGACGAGCGGAUCCCUCAAAGACCGGUCGCAGUUCGGAUUGAAGUCUGCAACUCGACUUCAUGAAGCUGGAAUCGCUAGUAAUCGUGGAUCAGCCAAGCCGCGGUGAAUACGUUCCCGGGCCUU
rnacentral:rRNA from 1 species